GCCCGCGUGAUGGAAUGGUAGACAUAAUAGACUUAAAAUCUGUGGAGCCUAGCUCGUGCCGGUUCAAGUCCGGCCGCGGGUACCA
rnacentral:tRNA from 3 species